GCAGACUUAAUACAUUGCACCCUUUUCCACCUGGAUGGCGCAUGUGUAGUCCUGGAGGUAUGCCGGUCAGCACCGGCUUCCGAUCAAACGUCUUAACCCUGCCUCACUCACAGACUCUUGCGAGGAAUUACUUUCCCCAGAAGUUCUAAUAACUACAGGCCCACCCCCUUAGCACCCAGUCCAUGACUGUGGAGAUCUCUGGAUCAUGGGAUGAAACUCAAGCAAUGUCAGCCGCCGUCAAAACAAAAGAUUGAAAUCAGAGAGGCAUGUACACAAAUCCCAGUUAAUGGUAUAAUAGUGAAUCAGUUUAAAACAAAAAAUUACCUUUAGCAUGAUGACGAUGUUGAUGAUCAAUGAAGAUUAAGAUAAUGAUGAUGAAGGGGAUGAUUCAAAGAUUUUUUUCACCAUUCUUUGAUGAUGGUAGUCUCAGCCAAGAGAAUAUGUUGACCUAAACUAAAAAUCCUACCCUCCUUUUCCUUACCCAAUAUAAUCAAUAAUACGCAAGUGUCCACAAAAAGUUUUCUUAUAUAAAGAAUUUUUUUAAAAAAA